GUGGGGAAUAUUGCACAAUGGGGGAAACCCUGAUGCAGCAACGCCGCGUGAGUGAAGAAGUAUUUCGGUAUGUAAAGCUCUAUCAGCAGGGAAGAAGAAGGACGGUACCUGACUAAGAAGCCCCGGCUAACUACGUGCCAGCAGCCGCGGUAAUACGUAGGGGGCGAGCGUUAUCCGGAUUUACUGGGUGUAAAGGGAGCGUAGACGGUUUUUCAAGUCUGAAGUGAAAGCCCGCGGCUCAACUGCGGAACGGCUUUGGAAACUGAGGGACUAGAGUGCUGGAGGGGCAGGCGGAAUUCCUGGUGUAGCGGUGAAAUGCGUAGAUAUCAGGAGGAACACCGGUGGCGAAGGCGGCCUGCUGGACAGUAACUGACGUUGAGGCUCGAAAGCGUGGGGAGCAAACAGGA
rnacentral:rRNA from 1 species